ACUCAAAUGAAUUGACGGGGGCCCGCACAAGCAGUGGAGUAUGUGGUUUAAUUCGAAGCAACGCGAAGAACCUUACCAGGGCUUGACAUCCCUCGAAUCAUGUCGAAAGAUAUGAGUCCUUCGGGACGAGGAGACAGGUGGUGCAUGGUUGUCGUCAGCUCGUGUCGUGAGAUGUUGGGUUAAGUCCCGCAACGAGCGCAACCCUUGUUGUUAGUUGCCAGCACGUAAUGGUGGGCACUCUAACGAGACUGCCGGUGACAAAUCGGAGGAAGGUGGGGACGACGUCAAAUCAUCAUGCCCCUUAUGUCCUGGGCUACACACGUACUACAAUGGCUGUUACAGAGGGAAGCGAAAGCGCGAGCUGGAGCGGAUCCCCAAAAACAGUCUCAGUUCGGAUUGCGGUCUGAAACCCGACCGCAUGAAGUCGGAAUUGCUAGUAAUUGCAGGUCAGCAUACUGCAGUGAAUACGUUCCCGGGCCUUGUACACACCGCCCGU
rnacentral:rRNA from 1 species